UACGGAGGAUGCAAGCGUUAUCCGGAUUCAUUGGGUUUAAAGGGUGCGCAGGCGGAGCGAUAAGUCAGCGGUGAAAUCCUACGGCUCAACUGUAGAACUGCCAUUGAUACUGUCGUUCUUGAGUUCACUUGAAGUGGGCGGAAUGUGUCAUGUAGCGGUGAAAUGCUUAGAUAUGACACAGAACACCGAUCGCGAAGGCAGCUCACUAAAGUGACACUGACGCUCAUGCACGAAAGCGUGGGGAU
rnacentral:rRNA from 1 species